GCCAAAAGUAGCUACAGAAGCUAGGCAGGCUUUAAUGCAUUCACAAAUAAUAACAGAUAGUUAUUAUUUUAUAUUAACAGUAAAGCAUGCAGCAAAUUUUGACUUUGAAGUUUUGCCAAAAAUUAAUACAUAGUAAUCUUAUUUUUAAUUUUAUUAUUUAAUUCAUAUUCAGGUGUAUAUACACUCAAUUAAUAGAAAUUAAUAAAUCAUAAUUUUUG
rnacentral:misc_RNA from 1 species